GGAAGAAGCAGAGGGGGUGGAGACCUCAGCACCAGGGGAAAGCACGAGGCCCCAGCCACCCCCAAGCCUCUCCCGCCACCCUGGGUCAGGUGAGAGGAGAGACACGUUAGGCAAGGCAGGCCCGGCGGCGUGUGCACUCUCUGGUACCACGAGAAGUGACAUCCUUUCCUCUAAAUGCCUGGAGAGAGACUGCCUGGGCUUAAAAGGGAAAGGGAAAUUUGGACACAGAGACAUAGAGUGGAAGGCCACGUGAAGACAGAGGCAGAGAGGGAGUGAAGCAGCCGCAAGCUAAGGAACACCUGGAGCACCAGAAGCUGGAAGAGACAAGGGAGGA